GACCCGAACUAAUUUUUUUACUAUUUUUUUCAGAAGUUGAGGAAUUUUAGAAAUUAAAUUAAGAAAUUAGGAAACAGAUGGCGCGAUCCUAGCCAUCCACCGACUCCACCUCUUGAUCCCAGCCAUUCAUCCUUAAUUGGGUCAGUCUAUUUAUCUAUGUGUGCUCUGUAGGGAGAUCCAGAAGGAUCGAGAGAGAGGAGAGAUCAGAGUUCUCCCUCUGACCCGAAACAGCAACCAGCAACAGAGUCCGACCGGCGCUACUUCGUCCGACCACCGAUCGACGACGGACGACCACUAUCUUCUUCGUCUCUGCGUCGCCUACAUCCUUGUAGCUCCUGAUCGUCCAUGCACUGAAUGGAGAAGAAAACCCGACGACGAGAAGCCCGAGUCUUUACCGCCAACCUCUGCAAAUUCCGGCGAUUACGGCCACCGUUUGGGCCACCAAUGGUACAAAACCUUACUUCCUCGUCAUGUUAUACAUGUUUCUGCAAUUUGUUUUCCAUUUGGAUCGAGUUUUGAUGGUUUUGGUUUCUGGUUGUUUCUGCCUCCGUCGCGUUUUCUUGCUGUCGGCGACUUCUCCGGCCUUCUGGGCUUCGUUUCUCGUUCGAUUUCAAGUCUAGGAGACGUAUUGUGAAGCCUUCUAGGCUGUAGCACGAGGAACCCUCGAUUCAUCCCCUUUCCAUUCCCGGCAGUGCGUUGGGCUCGAUUGCAGAAGACUUCCGAAGGAUUCCAGUUACCCGAGGAACAGAAGGUGCGCGACUCUCGGAGUACGUGAGAGAAAGCAUCGGAAUCCAGGUAGGGAUUCAGGACUCCCCUCGGUUAGUUGCUUUCUUAUAUCUUGUGUUAAAAUGAUGCAUGAUGGAGGGGUACGGUUUGGUUAUGUUAAAAUGCAAUGCAUACUAACCAAAUUGUGAGAGAUGUGAUGGCUUGAGAGCGAAAGGGGCACUGACUUCCUUGGGUUCGAUCCCCUAAACCUCCAGAGGGUUAGCUAUACCGGUCGUCCGAGUAUCUGCAAUCACGGACUCGGUACGUGUGUGUAGCUAGGUAGUGGACAUUCUCGCUACGCUUACCUGGUGAUAAAUAAAUUUGAGGUAAGGUCGUGCAGUGGGUCUAUGGGACCGGCCAUCAGUAUGAUUGCAGGUACUGUGCACUGGUGACGGGACAUUAGCGGACGGAGCUGGGUGUGCAUAACAAGUUCGGUAAACCCUUGUCUGGAGUUGUGCUAACUUUUAUUUCUCAAACUUCGUGCUUCGGAGCUUGUUGUUAUCUAGCCUCAGGUUAAACUCAGUUGGAUUCUCUUUCAUUGAAA